rnacentral:rRNA from 1 species
UACGUAGGGUGCAAGCGUUGUCCGGAAUCACUGGGCGUAAAGCGCACGUAGGCGGAUCUUUAAGUCGGUGGUGAAAUCCUGGAGCUCAACUCCAGAACUGCCUUCGAUACUGAGAGUCUCGAGUCCGAGAGAGGUGAGUGGAACUGCGAGUGUAGAGGUGAAAUUCGUAGAUAUUCGCAAGAACACCAGUGGCGAAGGCGGCUCACUGGCUCGGUACUGACGCUGAGGUGCGAAAGCGUGGGGAGCAAACAGG